UUUACAUGUGCAAAGUGCUGAACAAGUACAAAGUGCUGCACCUGGGCAAAAAGAACCACCAACAAACUUACUGGAUGGGGGAUGACCUUAUUGGCAGCACAGCAGCAGAAAGGGAUUUUGGAGUCAUAGC